rnacentral:rRNA from 1 species
UAAGGAAUAUUGCUCAAUGGGAGAAAUCCUGAAGCAGCAACGCCGCGUGGAGGAUGAAGGGUUUUUAACUUGUAAACUCCUGUAAAGAAGGAAAAAAUUCCCAUUAGAUGGGAAAUGAUGGUACUUCUGGAGUAAGCCCCGGCUAACUACGUGCCAGCAGCCGCGGUAAUACGUAGGGGGCAAGCGUUGUCCGGAUUUACUGGGUGUAAAGGGUGCUCAGGCGGAUUUGUAAGUCAGAGGUGAAAUCUCACAGCUUAACUGUGAAACUGCCUUUGAUACUGCAAGCCUAGAGUAUGGAAGAGAGUGAUGGGAUAUCUGGUGUAGCAGUGAAAUGCGUAGAUAUCAGAUAGAACACCAAUGGCGAAGGCAGUCACUUGGUCCAUAACUGACGCUAAAGCACGAAAGCGUGGGUAGCAAACAGGAUUAGAUACCCUGGUAGUCCACGCCCUAAACGAUGAAUACUAGAUGUUGGCUUCGCAUGAAGUCAGUAUCUGAGCUAACGCAUUAAGUAUUCCACCUGGGAAGUACGAUCGCAAGGUUGAAACUCAAAUGAAUUGACGGGGUCAUAGCUGUUUCCUG